CUGGGGACUUCCUGCAUGGUCAGCCCAUCUGUUAGACAGCCACCGUGCUACCCUGGUCAGCUCGUUGGGCUGCAGACAAGCUGGAGAGAAAAAAGGGGGGGAUGCUUAAAAUCACCAAAAUUUACUGUGCGUGUGAAUUCUACACCCAAAACCUUAUAAACAAUUCGCUUGUAACAAUUAUCAGACGCAAUCAAAUGCGCGUGUGCCCGCACGCUAUCACGCAAACCGAGUUUGUAAUGGCGCUAAUCGCAUUCGCCUUGAACAUUCCGAUUCCGUCAAAUUGUUUUUCUCCUCGAGAAUCAACAGUCAGUUUUAACAAUGAAGAGGAAGAGGACCCUAAAAUAUUUAUUUUUUUGCUUGUCUGCAGCCCCACACGCAGCUGUGGUCCUCAUCUAUCAGAGCUGACCAUGCGGAGGAGAAGCUGUGUACAUAUGAGUUUUUUUUUUGUUUUUUUUUGCUAUGCACCACAUUUGGUGUAGAUUAGUGUAUUACUACUGCCAGUCUUACAUACUUACAUACUUACCUUUUUGCAAUCGAAUGACUAAAACUCAUUUGACUGCAUAGUAGUAUGGGGGAUUGUCUGUAGUAAUGCACUUAUGGAGAGUGGGGCCUGGACAAUUUUUCCAUUUUUUUUUUACUUCCCCAAAAUCAGGACCCCACACCAAAAUAAAAAUAAUACAACCCCC